rnacentral:rRNA from 1 species
AGCCUAUUGAUCUCCCCAUAAUAGGUAUAUCCUGCCCAGUGAUAAUUUCAACGGCCGCGGUAUCCUGACCGUGCAAAGGUAGCAUAAUCAUUUGUCUCUUAAUUAGUGACUUGUAUGAAUGGAUAAACGAGUAUCAAGCUGUCUCCUUUAUUUAAAUAUAAAUUAAUCUUCAGGUGAAGAAGCCUGAAUCCUAUUAAAAGACAAGAAGACCCUGUCGAGCUUUAUUUCAUAGUAAACAAAAAACUUUACCAAAAAUUUAGUUGGGGCGACAAAGGAAUAAAUAAAUCUUCCUCAAUAUAUUAGAUCUCAAAUCUAAUAAAUGAUCCAAUAAUUGAUUAAAGAAAACAGCUACCGCAGGGAUAACAGUCUAAUUCUCCUCAAGAGCUCACAUCUAAAGGAGAGAUUGGCACCUCGAUGUUGGCUUAGGAAAUCUUCUAAACGCANCCGUUUCUAUAGAAGGUUUGUUCAACCUUUAAAUU